UACGUAGGGUGCAAGCGUUGUCCGGAAUUAUUGGGCGUAAAGAGCUCGUAGGCGGUCUGUCGCGUCUGCUGUGAAAACUCGGGGCUUAACCCCGGGCCUGCAGUGGGUACGGGCAGACUAGAGUGCGGUAGGGGAGACUGGAAUUCCUGGUGUAGCGGUGAAAUGCGCAGAUAUCAGGAGGAACACCGGUGGCGAAGGCGGGUCUCUGGGCCGUAACUGACGCUGAGGAGCGAAAGCAUGGGGGGCGAACAGG
rnacentral:rRNA from 1 species